CAAUCACUUGUCUUUUAAAUGAAGACCUGUAUGAAUGGCACGACGAGGGCUUGACUGUCUCCUUUUUCCAGUCAGUGAAAUUGAUCCCCCCGUGCAGAAGCGGGGAUUUAAACAUAAGACGAGAAGACCCUAUGGAGCUUUAGACUCUUCGAGCAGACUAUGUUAAACACUCUUUAACAAAAGACUAAACAGUAUAGGCCCUACUCUAAUGUCUUUGGUUGGGGCGACCCUGGGGAAAAACAAAACCCCCAUGAAGACAGGAAGAACUUUCUCCCACAAACAAGAGCUACGGCUCUAGUUAACAGAACCUCUGACUUACAUGAUCCGGCCUACGCCGAUCAACGGACCGAGUUACCCUAGGGAUAACAGCGCAAUCCUCUUUUAGAGCUCA
rnacentral:rRNA from 1 species